GCCCCCGUAGUUCAAUGGAUAGAACAGUCCCGUCCUAAGGGAUAGAUGUGCGUUCGAUUCGUGCUGGGGGCACAA
rnacentral:tRNA from 2 species